rnacentral:lncRNA from 1 species
CUCUGGUUCACUCCAUUUGCUCAAGAUCCUCCAGCAUGGGAGAGUCCUCUGCAGGCACAUAGCGGGUGUACCUGGCUCCUAGGGCACUCUCCCUGAAAGGGAGGAAAGGGGGAUGGUGGUGUUCAGUGUGAUGUAAGAUCAAGAAGAAACUAUGACAGCCACAAGGAUGAAAAGUAAACUGAAAUAUGCUUCCAUCUGGAAAGACAGAGACCUCUGAGGCAUUAUCACAGAUUCACACUUUCAAAGGGGCCUAGAAGAUUUUUUCCCUUUGGAGGGAUCCCAACAGUCUCUUUGAAGGAUCUGAAGAGUGAUGUUCCAUCAGGGUGAGGACUGAGCUGCAGCUUUUCCUUCUCACAACAGAAGAAGAACAUG